rfam:Leuconostoc pseudomesenteroides PS12 contig_029, whole genome shotgun sequence.
CACCAAAGUCUGGGGUGCCGAAUGGCUGAGAUAAUACCCAUAUAACCUGAUCUAGAUCGUACUAGCGUAGGGAGAUUUACUUGAAUAUUA